CAUAGUUUACUGGAUAUAUUCCAUUACAUGGAUAACUGUGGUAAUUCUACAGCUAAUACACGCAUCAAAGCCCCGACUUCGGAAGGGGUGCGUUAGUUACUUCAAACUGAUCGGUCUUCGGACUGCCAUCAAGUGAGAUUGAACUAUUUAGCUGAUCGCACGGUCUAAGAACCGGCGACAUAUCCUUCAAAUGUCUGCCUUAUCAACUUUCGAUGGUAGAUUAUGCGCCUACCAUGGUUGUAACGGGUAACGGAGAAUCAGGGUUUGAUUCCGGAGAGGGAGCCUGAGAAAUGGCUACCACA
rnacentral:rRNA from 1 species